UCCCACUUAGAUCAACAUCCCUCUAGUCAUCCAAGUGUUACAUGAUCCACGCCGACUAGCCCGUGUCCGAUCAUCGCGUGAGACAGACUAGUCAUCAAUGGUGAGCAUCUCCAUGCUGAUCGUAUCAACCUUACGACUCAUGUUCGACCUUUCGGUCUCCCAUAUUCGAGGCCAUGUCUGUACAGGCUAGGCUCGUCGAGUCAACCUAAGUGUUCUGCGUGUGUAAACUGGCUUACACCCGUUGUAUGCGAACGU
rnacentral:lncRNA from 1 species